CAUGGAUUUACGAAAAUGGCUUAGACCUCCUGCUCCUCCUCAGCCAGUAGCAGACUGUGACACUCCGGCCACCACCACUAGUACAGUCAGCCACGGUCUCUGAAAGCCAAGCUGGCCCUUCUGCUAACGCAAGCUCCGGGCAACCGCAAACGGAUUUAGCCGGCGCAGCCAUAGAGCAACGACGAUCUACAAGCCCCCCAAGUCAGCGGACAGCGGUUGAUGAUCUCGGGACUGACAGGCCUGUCCAAACUGUGUUAGAGUAUCCUGUAACUCUUUACAAUGGGACCCAUGGUUAUCAUCUCACUCAGGACCCUGCUGGAAGAGCUACUCUGCACUGUGGACAGGGCUGGAAGGCCUAGUCUGCACUGUGGACAGGGCUGGAAGGGUUACUCUACACUGUGGACAGGGCUGGAAGGGUUGCUCUACACUCAGGACACUGCUGGAAGGCAUGCUCUACACUCAGGACACUGCUCGAAGGGUUACUCUACUCCAGAUUUCACACAAUAUUUCACAUCUCAAGUUAUUUUAUAAUGCAACACAGAACAGUUCACUCAACUGGUGCAUUUAGUUUGCAAAACAGACAGACCAUAUUGUCUGCCUCAUCCCAUUAAUAUGUAGGACAAUAUUCAUCCUUCAUUAUAAUUUUUUUUAGCUUUCUUUGACUCCAAAAGCAAUGCUUCUGUUUUUUUUUUUUUUUUAUUUGUUUAUGUCUGGGCUUGCCCUAGGGCAGAUCCAUGCUUUGUUAUGGUUUGGGGGACAGUUGGAAGGAAACAAAAUAUAGGGUCUGCCGUGGAUCCCAGCGGAAGCGAGAAUCACUUUGUGUGGUUUGUCUGUUUUUUUGUUUCAAUUUAUGGGCGGAGCCAGCAGACUCCAGCUUCUCCGGACUCCUCCUUCUCCACCGUAACCAGAACAGAGCCCAUUCAAGAGAGCCUUGGCACUCUCUAUCGAGCCCCAAUACACACCUGAUGCUCAUCUUAAUCAACACUUCCUGUUUAUAUACUCCGGCUUCUCAAGCAUUCAUCGCCAGACCACUAACACAGUGCUGUUCCUCCACCGCCUUCCUGGUUCCUACACCGACCCGGCUGGCCUCCUGCAUCAACCAGCCUAAUUUCCAUUGAAUAAACAUUUAAACUGCUUCAACCCUCGUCUGUGUCGUGCGUUUGGGAUCCUCCAAACUCAUGCCGUAACAGUUACUGUGAAUUAAAAGUCAUGUCUGG
ensembl:lncRNA